AUGAAGAUAGCUCUAGAACAAAUGCAUGGUAAAUAUGAGGACAGUUUUCAGUUGUUGUUUAAUUGGAAAGCAGAAAUAGAGAAGAGAUGCCCUGAUAGUAUAGUUGAAAUUGACUUGGUCAAGGAAAAAGAUAAAUACUAUUUCAAUAGUCUUUGUAACAUUCAAGCCCUGCAUAGAUGGUUUCUUAGCUGGAUGCCGACCAUGCAUAGGAGUAGGUGCAACAGCACUGAAUGGAAAAUAUGUUCGUCAAUUAGCAUCAGCGACUGCAGUAGAUGGACAUAA
rnacentral:rRNA from 1 species